CUGGCGGCGUGCUUAACACAUGCAAGUCGAACGAUGAUCCCAGCUUGCUGGGGGAUUAGUGGCGAACGGGUGAGUAACACGUGAGUAACCUGCCCUUGACUCUGGGAUAAGCCUGGGAAACUGGGUCUAAUACCGGAUAUGACCUCCUGACGCAUGUCAGGUGGUGGAAAGCUUUUGUGGUUUUGGAUGGACUCGCGGCCUAUCAGCUUGUUGGUGGGGUAAUGGCCUACCAAGGCGACGACGGGUAGCCGGCCUGAGAGGGUGACCGGCCACACUGGGACUGAGACACGGCCCAGACUCCUACGGGAGGCAGCAGUGGGGAAUAUUGCACAAUGGGCGCAAGCCUGAUGCAGCGACGCCGCGUGAGGGAUGACGGCCUUCGGGUUGUAAACCUCUUUCAGUAGGGAAGAAGCGAAAGUGACGGUACCUGCAGAAGAAGCGCCGGCUAACUACGUGCCAGCAGCCGCGGUAAUACGUAGGGCGCAAGCGUUAUCCGGAAUUAUUGGGCGUAAAGAGCUCGUAGGCGGUUUGUCGCGUCUGCUGUGAAAGACCGGGGCUCAACUCCGGUUCUGCAGUGGGUACGGGCAGACUAGAGUGAUGUAGGGGAGACUGGAAUUCCUGGUGUAGCGGUGAAAUGCGCAGAUAUCAGGAGGAACACCGAUGGCGAAGGCAGGUCUCUGGGCAUUAACUGACGCUGAGGAGCGAAAGCAUGGGGAGCGAACAGGAUUAGAUACCCUGGUAGUCCAUGCCGUAAACGUUGGGCACUAGGUGUGGGGGACAUUCCACGUUUUCCGCGCCGUAGCUAACGCAUUAAGUGCCCCGCCUGGGGAGUACGGCCGCAAGGCUAAAACUCAAAGGAAUUGACGGGGGCCCGCACAAGCGGCGGAGCAUGCGGAUUAAUUCGAUGCAACGCGAAGAACCUUACCAA
rnacentral:rRNA from 1 species